ACGGGAGGCAGCAGUUAGGAAUAUUGGGCAAUGGAGGAAACUCUGACCCAGCAACGCCGCGUGAAGGAAGAAGGUUUUCGGAUUGUAAACUUCUGAUCUGUGGGAAGAAGAAAGUGACGGUACCACAGGAGAAAGCCACGGCUAACUACGUGCCAGCAGCCGCGGUAAUACGUAGGUGGCGAGCGUUGUCCGGAAUAACUGGGCGUAAAGGGAGCGUAGGUGGUUGGUUAAGUUAAAUGUGAAAGCCCUGGGCUCAACUCAGGAACUGCAUUUAAUACUGGUCAACUAGAGUACAGGAGGGGUAAACGGAAUUUCUAGUGUAGCGGUGAAAUGCGUAGAUAUUAGGAAGAACACCGGAGGCGAAGGCGGUUUACUGGACUGCAACUGACACUGAGGCUCGAAAGCGUGGGGAGCAAACAGGAUUAGAUACCCUGGUA
rnacentral:rRNA from 1 species